CAGCAGCCGCGGUAAUACGAAGGGACCUAGCGUAGUUCGGAAUUACUGGGCUUAAAGAGUUCGUAGGUGGUUGAAAAAGUUGGUGGUGAAAUCCCAGAGCUUAACUCUGGAACUGCCAUCAAAACUUUUCAGCUAGAGUAUGAUAGAGGAAAGCAGAAUUUCUAGUGUAGAGGUGAAAUUCGUAGAUAUUAGAAAGAAUACCAAUUGCGAAGGCAGCUUUCUGGAUCAUUACUGACACUGAGGAACGAAAGCAUGGGUAGCGAAGAGGAUUAGAUACCCUCGUAGUCCAUGCCGUAAACGAUGUGUGUUAGACGUUGGAAAUUUAUUUUCAGUGUCGCAGCGAAAGCGAUAAACACACCGCCUGGGGAGUACGACCGCAAGGUUAAAACUCAAAUGAAUUGACGGGGACCCGCACAAGUAGUGGAGCAUGUGGUUUAAUUCGAAGAUACGCGCAGAACCUUACCAACACUUGACAUGUUCGUCGCGACUCUAAGAGAUUAGAGUUUUCGGUUCGGCCGGACGAAACACAGGUGCUGCAUGGCUGUCGUCAGCUCGUGUCGUGAGAUGUUGGGUUAAGUCCCGCAACGAGCGCAACCCUCACUUUUAGUUGCCAUCAUUAAGUUGGGCACUCUGAAAGAACUGCCAGUGAUAAGCUGGAGGAAGGUGGGGAUGACGUCAAGUCCUCAUGGCCCUUACGUGUUGGGCUACACACGUGCUACAAUGGUACCUACAACAGGAAGCAAAACGGCAACGUUAAGCAAAUCCCGAAAAGAUACCUCAGUUCGGAUUGCACUCUGCAACUCGAGUGCAUGAAGCUGGAAUUACUAGUAAUCGUGGAUCAGCGUGCCACGGUGAAUGCGUUCCCGGGUCUUGUACACACCGCCCGUCACACCAUGGGAGUUGGUUCUACCUUAAGGCAAGGUUUUAAACCCUUGACCACGGUAUAGUCAGCGACUGGGGUG
rnacentral:rRNA from 1 species